CAUGUGCCUUAGACUAGCUUGGCCAGAGUGAUUGUAAAGGCUUCCAUGUUUAAAUUUCCAUGCAAGGGGGAGACCCACUUAUUCUCAUGCAGGGAAGAGAACUACGUAUCCCCGUGCGUAAUUCCCAUGCAACAGGAAGUAUCUGUUUGCCAGGCAGAAAGCGCCUGUAGCUACUGGUCUCUUUCUGCAGCCCUGCCAAACACAAGCAGCAAUAAACCAAUGGCCAUUGGCUUAAAAAGCUUUGUAUUCAAAUUACAACUCUUUGGUGUUUGUCACGUGCUUCCUUGGGAGAUGAAAGUUUGUGUUCAAGGCUCACUAACAGGGAACACAAUCUGUUCAGUUUGUCCAACAAUAUUCACCGUUCCAUUUUGUGUCAGCCUCAAGAUACACUGUAAACCUCUCAGAAACCUGCCCAGUUUCUCCAUCAGUCCUUUGAAUUUUCUUUCUUAGCCCUUCAUGCUGAGCACAGCUUGAGGUCAGUGGCUGAGACUGGCCAGCAAGCACCGCGUUAAGGACACAGGCUGAUCACAAGAGCUAACCUGUCAUGGUUCCACAGCAUCGUGCCUUCCCCUGGUGGCCUCCGAAGCUCAUGCAAGUUUGCAGGAAGAGACAUUCAGAGUGAAAUACGGCCUGAAAAGCCACUCCAAGUUGUAUUAUUUAUGAAACACAACACUCAACACAAGAAGAAACCCAAUACAGCACAUCAUUCUGCCUGCUCCGUGGCUUCUGCUUCUCAAGCGACUUAAAAUGAUUGUCUCACUUUGUCUCCCAGGCUGGAGUGCAGUGGCGUGAUCUCGGCUCACUGCAACCCCCACCUCCCUGGUUCAAGUAAUUCUCCUGCCUCAGCCCCCCGAGUAGCUGAGAUUACAGGAUCCUCUCUCUGGGAGCCCUCAUCUACCUCCAGCUGCAAUCAUCACCACAGGAGUGAGAGAGAGACUUGGACCUGAGCUGGACCCUCCAGCCCUCCUUCGCUGAACUACCUUCCAACCUUAUGUUCCUACUGAUGUUUACCAGGUUAUUCAAUAAAUAUUGUAUGUUCUGUGGCAGUGGCCACCAGUCAUUUUCAAAUACCUGUUUUCCCUUCUUCCUUACCAAAAACACCCAUGGUUUUUAGCUGGACACCUGGUUGCCCAAAAUAAACACUGCAUUUGCAGCCUCCCUUG
ensembl:lncRNA novel transcript